GAUGAACGCUGGCGGCGUGCUUAACACAUGCAAGUCGAACGGUGAAAGCGGGAGCUUGCUCCUGCUGGAUCAGUGGCGAACGGGUGAGUAACACGUGAGCAAUCUGCCCCGAACUCUGGGAUAAGCGCUGGAAACGGCGUCUAAUACCGGAUACGACGCGCGACGGCAUCGUCUGCGCGUGGAAAGAACUUCGGUUCGGGAUGAGCUCGCGGCCUAUCAGCUUGUUGGUGAGGUAACGGCUCACCAAGGCGACGACGGGUAGCCGGCCUGAGAGGGUGACCGGCCACACUGGGACUGAGACACGGCCCAGACUCCUACGGGAGGCAGCAGUGGGGAAUAUUGGACAAUGGGCGCAAGCCUGAUCCAGCAAUGCCGCGUGAGUGAUGAAGGCCUUCGGGUUGUAAAGCUCUGUCGGGAGGGACGAAUGGUGCCGGGUAACUCCGGUAAUUGACGGUACCUCCAAAGGAAGCACCGGCUAACUCUGUGCCAGC
rnacentral:rRNA from 1 species